rnacentral:tRNA from 1 species
AAGAAAUUAGUUAAUUUAUAACAUUAACUUGUCGAGUUAAAAUAAUCUUCUAGAUAUUUCUUA